rnacentral:rRNA from 1 species
CCUACGGGUGGCAGCAGUCGAGAAUCAUUCACAAUGGGGGAAACCCUGAUGGUGCGACGCCGCGUGGGGGAAUGAAGGUCUUCGGAUUGUAAACCCCUGUCAUGUGGGAGCAAAUUAAAAAGAUAGUACCACAAGAGGAAGAGACGGCUAACUCUGUGCCAGCAGCCGCGGUAAUACAGAGGUCUCAAGCGUUGUUCGGAAGCACUGGGCGUAAAGCGUGCGUAGGCUGUUUCGUAAGUCGUGUGUGAAAGGCGAGGGCUCAACCCGCGGACGGCACAUGAUACUGCGAGACUAGAGUAAUGGAGGGGGAACCGGAAUUCUCGGUGUAGCAGUGAAAUGCGUAGAUAUCGCGAGGAACACUCGUGGCGAAGGCGGGUUCCUGGACAUUAACUGACGCUGAGGCACGAAGGCCAGGGGAGCGAAAGGGAUUAGAUACCCGAGUAGUC